CUGGUUUAGUGUUGCUGAAUUCUCUCAGCUUGAUUCUUGGACCUGGGGAACCUCAAGGUGCUGAGUGAGGCCUUGGUGGGAAAUUGCUGGCCUGAUUCAAGAACAAACAUAACAGCUUGGGGUCCACAUCAGUAUCCUCUUGACAUUGCUAACAAGAAGGGGGAGAGGAUGAGUGAAGGAACAUCAGGUUUCAGGGACAGCUGGCUGUGAAGGUUCAUCCCAUGCAGUCUCCACCUGCUCCAGGUCAUCCUCCUGUGGGUGGAGAGAGGACCCUGCCCCAAAGAAAAGUCAAAUUUCAGGUCAACGGUUCAGUGCUGCUCCCGGCCAAUGGGAUGGGCUCCACUGUGGAUGGAAUGGCAGGGACCCCAGAGUUCUGGCUGUUGCCUAGCACCCACUCUGUUUCAUGUGCCCAGGCAGUUGGAGGCCUUCUUGUUUACUUACCUGCUCUGAUGCUCACUCACCUGCCCCCCCUGCUCUGACCCAACUGAUACCCACACCCAGCGGGUUGAUUUGUUAUCAUUUUGAGAGGAGAGGCCCACAACUAAUAUCAGGAAUCAUAAAGGAAGUUGGAGGCCCUUGUGGUCUCCGACCUGCUUUGAUGCCCACCUGCCCUCCAUGUUAUUACCCAUGGACCUCAACCUGGAUGCAUUUAUACAGUGGAGACCAACUCAAACAAUGAGAGUUCAGACAGGCAAUUGGAGGCCCUUGUGGUCACUGAACUUCUCUGAACCUUGCUCAUCUUCUGGCCCUGAAGGAACCCACCUGAUCUCCACACCCACCUGGUUACCUUGUUACCAUCUUGAGAGGAGAGGACCACAUGCAACAGGGAGUGUCAGAAAGGUGGAAUUGAGCUGCACCCUCACCCCCUACCAAUAUCUCAAGGACAGAGGACUGUGGUGGGUGCAUGGAGCAGAUGGGUCUGAGGUUGAGGUAACAAGGACCUCUAGCACCAACCCAUGAGCAUAAAGCACUUUCUGGGUUCCAUGAACUAUGGGCUACUGCCAUAGGUGCCUGAAUCACUGCAAGGAGCCCAAGGUUAGAGCUCAGACCCUUGGCCACAAAAGGAAGAGGGGGAGAAGGAGGGACAGGAGAGGUUGCAUGAGGUGCAGGAGGGGAGAAGGUGCAGGAGGAGGAAGAAGAUG
rnacentral:lncRNA from 9 species